GAGCACGUAGGUGGGUUUGUAAGUCAGAUGUGAAAGCCUUCUGUUCAACGGAAGAAUUGCAUCUGAAACUGCGAGUCUUGAGUGUAGGAGGGGAGAAUGGAACUUCUGGUGGAGCGGUGAAAUGCGUAGAUAUCAGAAGGAACGCCGGCGGCGAAAGCGAUUCUCUGGCCUAUUACUGACACUCAGUGUGCGAAAGCUAGGGGAGCAAACGGGAUUAGAUACCCCGGUAGUCCUAGCCGUAAACGAUGGGCACUAAGUAGAGGGGUUUUA
rnacentral:rRNA from 1 species